UACGUAGGGUGCGAGCGUUGUCCGGAAUUAUUGGGCGUAAAGAGCUCGUAGGCGGCUUGUCGCGUCGGUUGUGAAAGCCCGGGGCUUAACUCCGGGUCUGCAGUCGAUACGGGCAGGCUAGAGUGUGGUAGGGGAGAUCGGAAUUCCUGGUGUAGCGGUGAAACUGCGCAGAUAUCAGGAGGAACACCGGUGGCGAAGGCGGGUCUCUGGGCCGAUACUGACGCUGAGGAGCGAAAGCGUGGGGAGCGAACAGG
rnacentral:rRNA from 1 species